rnacentral:lncRNA from 1 species
CUACAUGUCCAAGUACGACACAGCCCAGCGUCCAUGGAUGCAACAUGAGUUCAAGGUCAACUACUCCAAGACCCUUGUCUUCCCUGAGAAGCCCGUCAAGACCUCCUCCGCGCACCAUGAGCUCAAGGUCAACUACUCCAAGACCCUUGUCUUCCGUGAGAUGCCCGUCAAGACCUCCUCUGCGCCCAUCAAGACCUCGUCCAAGACCAAGGCAAAUGAGACAAAGAGAAGUGGGCCUCUGCGCACCCAAGACAAGAAGAAUUCCCGUGUUUACAAGACCAAGGCAAAUGAGAUAAAGAAGUGAGCCCCCUCGCACCCAAGACAAGAAGAAUUCCCGUGUUUACAAAUUUCCAAAGUGUUGAGUGUCUCUAGGCUUGCUUUUCAAGUGUUAUGGUUUGGAGUUCAGAAUAAGAAGUGUUAUCUUGUUUCCUGUUGGAGUUUUCUAAUUUUUAUGCAAGUUUGAAUAUAAAGGCAAAAUUGAUGGGGUUGUCGUAUGGAAUGUGUUUCUCUUAUUUUGCUUCUACCCUCGAUUCCUUGUUUGUUAUUUUGCUUUCUAUUAUUCUCUUUGGUUAGCUUAAGCAUUGUGAUGUUUGCCAACCCGAAGACAAUUAACAGUGUUUGAUUUCAAGCCCGAUUCUCUUCGGGUAGGCAAAACAUAUAUUGUAGAGAAGCGGCAAGUUUAUUAUGCUGAGUUUAAUAGAUCAUUGCAGCUAUGCCAGCUGAGGUGGUUUAUUCCUUAUCAACUGCAGUCUACACUGUCG